rnacentral:rRNA from 1 species
UACGUAGGGAGCAAGCGUUGUCCGGAAUCAUUGGGCGUAAAGCGCGCGUAGGCGGCUUUGCAAGUCGAGUGUGAAAUCCCCAGGCUUAACCUGGGAACUGCAUUCGAGACUGCAUAGCUAGAGUAUGGGAGAGGGAAGUGGAAUUUCAGGUGUAGCGGUGAAAUGCGUAGAUAUCUGAAGGAACAUCAGUGGCGAAAGCGACUUCCUGGACCAAUACUGACGCUCAUGUGCGAAAGCGUGGGGAGCAAACAGG